rnacentral:rRNA from 1 species
CAGUCGCCACGGGAAAACGGAGGGGGCUAGCGUUGUUCGGAAUUACUGGGCGUAAAGCGCACGUAGGCGGCUUGGUAAGUUAGAGGUGAAAGCCUGGAGCUCAACUCCAGAAUUGCCUUUAAGACUGCCGAGCUAGCAGGUGAGAGAGGUAAGUGGAAUUCCGAGUGUAGAGGUGAAAUUCGUAGAUAUUCGGAAGAACACCAGUGACGAAGGCGGCUUACUGGCUCAUACUGGACGCUGAGGUGCGAAAGCGUGGGGAGCAAACAGGAUUAGAUACCCCUGUAGUCCCUGUCUCUUAUAC